CCUACGGGCGGCAGCAGUGAGGAAUAUUGGUCAAUGGACGAGAGUCUGAACCAGCCAAGUCGCGUGAAGGAUGACUGCCCUAUGGGUUGUAAACUUCUUUUAUCUGGGAAUAAAAUGUUCCACGUGUGGGUUUUUGUAUGUACCAUAUGAAUAAGGAUCGGCUAACUCCGUGCCAGCAGCCGCGGUAAUACGGAGGAUCCGAGCGUUAUCCGGAUUUAUUGGGUUUAAAGGGAGCGCAGGUGGAAUGUUAAGUCAGUUGUGAAAGUUUGCGGCUCAACCGUAAAAUUGCAGUUGAAACUGGCAGUCUUGAGUACAGGAGAGGUGGGCGGAAUGCGUGGUGUAGCGGUGAAAUGCUUAGAGAUCACGAAGAACUCCGAUUGCGAAGGCAGCUCACUGGACUGCAACUGACACUGAGGCUCGAAAGUGUGGGUAUCAAACAGGAUUAGAUACCCGAGUAGUC
rnacentral:rRNA from 1 species